rnacentral:rRNA from 1 species
UCAGUUCGGAUUGAAGGCUGAAAUUCGCCUUCAUGAAGCUGGAAUUGCUAGUAAUGGCAGGUCAGCAUACUGCCGUGAAUACGUUCCCGGGCCUUGUACACACCGCCCGUCACACCAUGAGAGUUGGGAAUACCCGAAGCCUGUGAGCUAACUGUAAGGAGGCAGCAGUCGAAGGUAGAAUCAAUGAUUGGGGUGAAGUCGUAACAAGGUAUC